UGCGAGUCAUUGUAGUAAUACAAGGCAGACGGCUCAGUAACGCGUAGUCAACCUACCCUAUGGACGGGAAUAACCUCGGGAAACUGAGUAUAAUGCCCGAUAGAACACUAUACCUGGAAUGGUUUGUGUUCCAAAUGAAUGUCGCCGUAGGAUGGGACUGCGGCCUAUCAGUUUGUUGGUGAGGUAAUGGCCCACCAAGACUAUUACAGGUACGGGCUCUGAGAGGAGUAGCCCGGAGAUGGGUACUGAGACACGGACCCAGGCCCUAUGGGGCGCAGCAGGCGAGAAAACUUUGCAAUGUGCGAAAGCACGACAAGGUUAAUCCGAGUGGUUUGUGCUAAACGAACCUUUUGACAGUCCUAGAAACACUGUUGAAUAAGGGGUGGGCAAGUUCUGGUGUCAGCCGCCGCGGUAAAACCAGCACCUCAAGUGGUCAGGAUGAUUAUUGGGCCUAAAGCAUCCGUAGCCGGCUCUGUAAGUUUUCGGUUAAAUCUGUACGCUCAACGUACAGGCUGCCGGGAAUACUGCAGAGCUAGGGAGUGGGAGAGGUAGACGGUACUCGGUAGGAAGGGGUAAAAUCCUUUGAUCUAUUGAUGACCACCUGUGGCGAAGGCGGUCUACCAGAACACGUCCGACGGUGAGGGAUGAAAGCUGGGGGAGCAAACCGGAUUAGAUACCCGGGUAGUCCCAGCUGUAAACUAUGCAAACUCAGUGAUGCAUUGGCUUGUGGCCAAUGCAGUGCUGCAGGGAAGCCGUUAAGUUUGCCGCCUGGGAAGUACGUACGCAAGUAUGAAACUUAAAGGA
rnacentral:rRNA from 1 species